rnacentral:hammerhead_ribozyme from 1 species
AUCCAGCUGACGAGUCCCAGAUAGGAUAAAACGCAAUUCCUGGAU